UAAGACAGAGGUCCCGAGCGUUAGGCGGAAUCACUGGGCUUAAAGCGUGUGUAGGCGGAUUUGUAAGUACCUUGUGAAAUCCCACGGCUUAACCGUGGAACUGCUUGGUAUACUGCUUAUCUUGGGCCACUUAGGGGUUACCGGAACAAACGGUGGAGCGGUGAAAUGCGUAGAUAUCGUUUGGAACGCCAAUGGUGAAAACAGGUAACUGGGAGUGUGCCGACGCUGAGACACGAAAGCCAGGGGAGCGAACGGGAUUAGAUACCCCGGUAGUCCUGGCUGUAAACGAUGUCGACUAGAUCGUGGUGGCUCUGACGCUAUCACGGUCGAAGCAAAAGUGCUAAGUCGACCGCCUGGGAAGUACGGUCGCAAGGCUA
rnacentral:rRNA from 1 species